rnacentral:rRNA from 1 species
AACGUAGGAGGCGAGCGUUAUCCGGAUUUACUGGGCGUAAAGCGCACGUAGGCGGCUUCUUAAGUCAGGGGUGAAAUCCUGGAGCUCAACUCCAGAACUGCCUUUGAUACUGAGAAGCUUGAGUCCGGGAGAGGUGAGUGGAACUGCGAGUGUAGAGGUGAAAUUCGUAGAUAUUCGCAAGAACACCAGUGGCGAAGGCGGCUCACUGGCCCGGUACUGACGCUGAGGUGCGAAAGCGUGGGGAGCAAACAGG